AUGAACGCUGGCGGCGUGCCUAAUACAUGCAAGUCGAGCGAACGGACGAGAAGCUUGCUUCUCUGAUGUUAGCGGCGGACGGGUGAGUAACACGUGGAUAACCUACCUAUAAGACUGGGAUAACUUCGGGAAACCGGAGCUAAUACCGGAUAAUAUUUUGAACCGCAUGGUUCAAAAGUGAAAGACGGUCUUGCUGUCACUUAUAGAUGGAUCCGCGCUGCAUUAGCUAGUUGGUAAGGUAACGGCUUACCAAGGCAACGAUGCAUAGCCGACCUGAGAGGGUGAUCGGCCACACUGGAACUGAGACACGGUCCAGACUCCUACGGGAGGCAGCAGUAGGGAAUCUUCCGCAAUGGGCGAAAGCCUGACGGAGCAACGCCGCGUGAGUGAUGAAGGUCUUCGGAUCGUAAAACUCUGUUAUUAGGGAAGAACAUAUGUGUAAGCAACUGUGCACAUCUUGACGGUACCUAAUCAGAAAGCCACGGCUAACUACGUG
rnacentral:rRNA from 1 species